CUUGCGCAUUAAUUAACUUCAGGUAUGCCAUAAACUGUUAAAUAUUAAAUAUUGACAAUCUCCAACACUCUCCCCCCAUUUAUCUACUAUUUGAGAUAAAUGUCGUCCAAUACACCUGGAGAUUGACCAAUGAUACAACUGUACUAAAAUGUCAACCUUAGUAUAUUUCUAAAUUGUUCUGACUGUUCACAGUUCAGUGUCCAAAUGUUCACUUGAAAUUAAGUCUAUUGUUCAUCCUCCGCGAUCUCCUGAACACGCAAUUUGGCCGCUAACUGCAGCAUCCCGCUUCGGUCUAAAUGUCUCCGCUUUCGGGUUGAGUAUUGCCGGUACUGGUUCUUUCUUGUCAACCGAGAGCUCUAGUGGGUACAAAUGCUGCACGGCACGCUCAAUUUGAGACUUUUCUGUACGUACUUUGGCUCCCCUGAUUUUUCCAUCUUUUCCCACAAUCAGUGCUUCGACAAUUCCUAACGGCCAACGACCACGUUUUCUCUCGUCUGUUGCAAUAAUCACUACAUCUCCUACCGUUGGCACUGCUCCACUACAUUCUGCUUUCGAACGAUGUCUCUCACGAAGGCUACGCAAAUAUUCCUGGGUCCACCGUCUCCAAAGCGCUUCUUUGCAUUUCAUCAAGUGUUUCGCUCGUUUUCUAAGGUCACCGUCCUCAAUAUUAUAUGGUUGCAAUUCGGGUAAAAUAUUACUAUUCAGAAACAACAUCGAACUUGGCGUUAACACUGGAAAUUGCACGUCAUCCUCCACGUAAGAUAAUGGACGGUUAUUUACCGCCACCUCGACAUCAAGCAAUACUUCCUCUAACUCGUUCCAUCGC